CUGCCGUAGCUCAGUGGUAAGAGCAGGCGUCUGAUAAACGCAAGGUCGCUGGUUCGGAGUCCAGUCGGCAGCA
rnacentral:tRNA from 1 species